GAUGAACGCUAGCGGGAGGCUUAAUACAUGCAAGUUGAGCGGUAACCGGCUUAUAGCAAUAUAAGUUGGCUAGAGCGGCGCACGGGUGAGUAACGCGUACAUAACCUACCCUAUACAGGGGGAUAGCCUUGGGAAACUGAGAUUAAUACCCCAUAGCAUUGCGGAGUCGCCUGACUCUGCAAUUAAAGUUGCGGCGGUAUAGGAUGGGCGUGCGUCUGAUUAGCUAGUGGGUAGGGUAACGGCCUACCAAGGCGAUGAUCAGUAGGGGGCGGGAGGGCGUGGACCCCCACACGGGUACUGAGACACGGACCCGACUCCUACGGGAGGCAGCAGUAAGGAAUCUUGGUCAAUGGAGGAAACUCUGAACCAGCCAUCCCGCGUGAAGGAUGAAGGGGCUCUGCCUUGUAAACUUCUUUUGUCCGAGGCGAAAAAGCUCGAUUUAUCGAGAACUGACGGUACCAGAAGAAUAAGCACCGGCUAACUCCGUGCCAGCCGCCGCAGUAAUAC
rnacentral:rRNA from 1 species